rnacentral:rRNA from 1 species
UGGGGAAUAUUGCACAAUGGGGGAAACCCUGAUGCAGCGACGCCGCGUGAGUGAAGAAGUAUUUCGGUAUGUAAAGCUCUAUCAGCAGGGAAGAUAAUGACAGUACCUGACUAAGAAGCCCCGGCUAACUACGUGCCAGCAGCCGCGGUAAUACGUAGGGGGCAAGCGUUAUCCGGAUUUACUGGGUGUAAAGGGAGCGUAGACGGAAUGGCAAGUCUGAAGUGAAAUACCCGGGCUCAACCUGGGAACUGCUUUGGAAACUGUUGUUCUAGAGUGUUGGAGAGGUAAGUGGAAUUCCUGGUGUAGCGGUGAAAUGCGUAGAUAUCAGGAAGAACACCGGAGGCGAAGGCGGCUUACUGGACAAUAACUGACGUUGAGGCUCGAAAGCGUGGGGAUCAAACAGGAUUAGAUACCCUGGUAGCCCACGCUGUAAACGAUGAAUACUAGGUGUCGGGGUACAAAGUAUCUCGGUGCCGUCGCUAACGCAAUAAGUAUUCCACCUGGGGAGUACGUUCGCAAGAAUG